rnacentral:rRNA from 1 species
AGAGUUUGAUCAUGGCUCAGGAUGAACGCUGGCGGCGUGCCUAACACAUGCAAGUCGAGCGAAGCACUUUACUCUGAUUUCUUCGGAUUGAAGAGGGAUUUGACUGAGCGGCGGACGGGUGAGUAACGCGUGGGUAACCUGCCUCACACAGGGGGAUAACAGUUAGAAAUGACUGCUAAUACCGCAUAAGGCCACAGCACCGCAUGGUGCAGGGGUAAAAACUCCGG